UAAAAAGUGAUGAUAAGAAGUAGUAAGUUAUUUAGCUGACCAGAAAGGUGCCGGUCGAUGCGAGGCACACAUGCGAGAUAGCCGAAUUCAUCUUUGAACUUCGCACUGAAUCAAGUAGGCUGCGACGGGUGAUAGCGUUCGUUAUUUCGCUAGGGUAUUAUAAUGUACCUAUCGAGGUAGGCUUGCGCGAGUGGUCUGCGAACAAAGGUGGUAACACGAGUCUAUACGGCUUCGUCCUUUCC
rnacentral:ncRNA from 1 species